rnacentral:rRNA from 1 species
AUGAGCGCUGGCGGCGUGCCUAAUCCAUGCAAGUCGAGCGAACGGACGAGAAGCUUGCUUCUCUGAUGUUAGCGGCGGACGGGUGAGUAACACGUGGAUAACCUACCUAUAAGACUGGGAUAACUUCGGGAAACCGGAGCUAAUACCGGAUAAUAUUUUGAACCGCAUGGUUCAAAAGUGAAAGACGGUCUUGCUGUCACUUAUAGAUGGAUCCGCGCUGCAUUAGCUAGUUGGUAAGGUAACGGCUUACCAAGGCAACGAUGCAUAGCCGACCUGAGAGGGUGAUCGGCCACACUGGAACUGAGACACGGUCCAGACUCCUACGGGAGGCAGCAGUAGGGAAUCUUCCGCAAAGGGCGAAAGCCUGACGGAGCAACGCCGCGUGAGUGAUGAAGGUCUUCGGAUCGUAAAACUCUGUUAUUAGGGAAGAACAUAUGUGUAAGUAACUGUGCACAUCUUGACGGUACCUAAUCAGAAAGCCACGGCUAACUACGUG